AAGGUCUCUCUCCUUUCAGGGUUCAACCUCCAACCUUAUUUCUGCUUCCUUCAUGUUGGAAUUCACACUGUGAGAAUUGUUGUCAUCCUUUCUCUACGACUCCAAGAGAAACUUUAUACUGGAGGAAGAAUAUUCUACCACUUUGGGAUGCUUCCAAAGAAAUGGGAUACCAAAGGAGUGAACUUCAGGUCAUUGGAAGUGGCCAAGCUGGAGGGCGACCUAUGGAGACAUGACCUUCAGUUCUUCCUGAGAUCGAUAAAGCUUAAAAGAAAAGAAAAAGCCAACUCAGCUUGUGCGUGGAUCCUGGACCUUGCUCUAAUACAGACCCCGCUCCUGGAGUGUAAGCCAUGCUUGACGGCUCAGCUUUCUUGUCACUAAUGAGCCAUCACCGUGAGAACAUGCCGGGCUCACCUGAAACAAGGGUAAGAGAGAAAUGGAAAGCAGAGUUGUCCCAUACGAGACCAUUCUAGACCAGACAACCCUGAGCAGCCCACUGGUUGCCCACAGAAGAAUGAGAGAGCCCAGUUGAGAUCACCCCAGCCCUGUUCUGGAUCCAGAGACCACGAGAAAUAAUCAGUCAUUUUUGGUUUAAGUCACUAUGUCUUGGAUGGUUUGUUGUACAUCAGUAAUGAACUGAUACGAGACUUG
rnacentral:lncRNA from 1 species